AGAUUCAGUAGGAUUAUACCCCUGUUUCUGUCAGUCAUUGUAUGAACAGUGAACACAUGGACAGGUAAUGGAUUAAAACAUGAAAGAUUUUGAAAGUAACCAUGGCCAGACGACUUGAUGUGAUUAUAAUUGCUGCACUAAGUUCAUUGAACAACCUGACUUGGAAGUUGAAUUCUGCAAUCCAUCCUGUGUGUAGUUAAUAUCAUAGCUGCAAAUGAUCGUCACAGCUACACUGUAUUACAUAAUAAACACAUUAUAUUAACUACUUAAAUCAAUAUUUUGACAACUCAAAAUGAGAACCAGGUGCAAGAUUAGUAUGUUAAGAAUAAGAGAGGGUUGAGAAUUUUGUGACAUUUGAUGGACAGCCUUGCCACUCGCAACGUCCAGUAAGGUUAAUUUGUGCAGUUAGUGUACAUGUAAAUAGUGCUAUUUAAUUUACAUUUCGACCAUCGAUAAUAUGAUUAUAACCUUUUAACCCCAAGAGUAGCAGCACUGCAUUUGGUCGGGGAAACAAGAUUCCAGUUUUUCUUGACUAAUAAUUAAUAAGAGGUUUUGGAGAUUUACGUGUCAGGCUUUGGUGCAUGUAGGAUAUUGAUGUAUAAUUUGUUUAUCCAUUUUGCUGUAGUUAAUAAUUAUCUUAUUGAUAUGUCAAUUAAAAAAUAUCUUGGGCUCAGCUGGCAAAUGCACCUAUGCCUCAUAACCUUUGAGUGCAUUUUUUUGGAUAGUGCAGGCAAAAUAAAAUACAUGUACAUAAUAUAACUUACCGCUACUCAUGGCUUACUUAUUCGUAUUUGGUAUAAUUUAGUAAUAGCAUAAUUGAUAAUUAAUGGCACCCAGGCACAGUUUCUGUAGUCCACAGUCUUAGUCAAGAAAAAACAACAAAUCAUUCUUGACUGACACAUUAUUGAAAUUGAAUAAUAAAAUUAUUUUUGGGAUCCUGUGCAACCAUGAUCAGCAACAAAAUAUUAUCUUUACCAUUUAUGCCAGAGUGAUUUUGCUUAUACUUGUACUUUGAGAGAUGGUGCAAACCCUUCCAGCAGGAAGAGAAUCCAUAAUUAUAAAAGUACAGAUUGCUAAUUGUAUCUUUGGGAGAGCUUUUCCCAUGAGAAAGGGGAGGAUGCUCUCAUAUUUGACAUAAACGGGGAUGUUUUACUGAACAGGGUAUAGUUUUAAAGUUUAGGGUAUAAUUUUAUAGCUGUAAAGCAGGUUCUAUGGCAUUACUAUUUAAAUUCUUGGAAAGGGUA